rnacentral:rRNA from 1 species
GUGAACGCUGGCGGUAGGCCUAACACAUGCCAGUCGAACGGCAGCACAGUAAGAGCUUGCUCUUACGGGUGGCGAGUGGCGGACGGGUGAGGAAUACAUCGGAAUCUACUUUUUCGUGGGGGAUAACGUAGGGAAACUUACGCUAAUACCGCAUACGACCUACGGGUGAAAGCAGGGGAUCUUCGGACCUUGCGCGAUUGAAUGAGCCGAUGUCGGAUUAGCUAGUUGGCGGGGUAAAGGCCCACCAAGGCGACGAUCCGUAGCUGGUCUGAGAGGAUGAUCAGCCACACUGGAACUGAGACACGGUCCAGACUCCUACGGGAGGCAGCAGUGGGGAAUAUUGGACAAUGGGCGCAAGCCUGAUCCAGCCAUACCGCGUGGGUGAAGAAGGCCUUCGGGUUGUAAAGCCCUUUUGUUGGGAAAGAAAAGCAGCAGGUUAAUACCCCGCUGUUCUGACGGUACCCAAAGGAUAAGCACCGGCUAACUUCGUG